AGUGGAAUUGCUGGGACAUAUGGUAGCUCUAUGUUUAGUUUUUUGAGGAACUGCCACACUGUUCUCCACAACGGUUGUACCAUUUUGCAUCCCCACCAGCAAU
rnacentral:pre_miRNA from 1 species